rnacentral:lncRNA from 1 species
GUCACUUCCCUUCCCGCGAUGGCGGCACAGGGAGCUGCUGCGGCGGUUGCGGCGGGGACUUCAGGGGUCGCGGGGGAGGGCGAGCCCGGGCCCGGGGAGAAUGCGGCCGCUGAGGGGACCGCCCCAUCCCCGGGCCGCGUCUCUCCGCCGACCCCGGCGCGCGGCGAGCCGGAAGUCACGGUGGAGAUCGGAGAAACGUACCUGUGCCGGCGACCGGAUAGCACCUGGCGUGAGGGCGGGGCCCAGGGCUGGGGGCGGGGCGGAGCUCAGGGCCAGGGGGUGGGGCGGGGCCUGAGGACAGGCUGUCAGUGAGGCCAAGAUCCGGGGGCUGGGAGUGGAGAGGAGGAGGGGCGGGGCUUGAGGAAAGAACGCCGCGUUCCGGGCGCUGAGAAACCAGCCGGGUUGUGGGAGGCUGUUGACCUUGAAUUAUGCCGAGCGACGCCUACAAACCCACCGCUCAGGCCUUCACCAGGAUUGUUCCCAUUCCACUUCCUUGCCCAGUCUUAGGCUUCAUUCCUUUUUCUUGCUAACGCUGCUUCCUCACCCUCUCUUGUCUCUGCGUCUUCUUUUUCCAUUUGUCCCUGGCAGCCAUCCGCAGAGAGAAGACCUUCCAGAAACAACAGGCUUCCCUUUCCUAAAGUUCUGCUGCCUUCUCUCAUUUUCAAAAUUAACCCCAAACUCCUUAGGGUGGCAUUCAUUUUUGUGACCUCUCCAGUUUCUAGCCAACACUAGGAAAGGGCAUUGCCAGGCCAGAACACACUGUGCCCUCUGAAGACCACACGCCCUUUACCACCUGUGCCCUUUGCUUGGAAUGCUUUUUCUUCCCUUUCUCCUUGUUUGCCUGCCUAGCUCCUACUCAUCCUCUUAGCUUCAUAUCCUUUGUGAUGUCAUCCUUGAUUCCCCUUCAGGCAAAGUGAGUGGUUCCCUUCUCUAUGUUCCUGCAACAUUUUUUUCCUACCUCAGUCAUAGUUUUUGUAACAUUAUGUUGUAAUUUUCUCUCUCUGUCUUCCUCCAUCAUACUGGGAACUUCUGGAGGGCAGCACUUCUUGUGAUUCAUCACUGUGUCCUCUGUACCCGGCAACAACACAGCAUAGGGCCAGACACGUAGUGGUUGCCUUACUCAUUUAUUGAAUGCUCUGCUAAUUGUCAGAUUCUGCUGAAGUGAUCCAGUCUCGAGUGAACGACCAGGAGGGCCGAGAGGAAUUCUAUGUACACUACGUGGGCUGUGAGUGGCUUGGCACAUCUGGGCGUGGGUGCAGGGAGUUGGCUGCCCUGGCAGCACUCUUAUGGCCCAUACUUACAGUUAACCGGCGGCUGGACGAGUGGGUAGACAAGAACCGGCUGGCGCUGACCAAGACAGUGAAGGAUGCUGUACAGAAGAACUCAGAGAAGUACCUGAGCGAGCUCGCAGAGCAGCCUGAGCGCAAGAUCACUCGCAACCAAAAGCGCAAGCAUGAUGAGAUCAACCAUGUGCAGAAGGUCCGGAUCCCUUCCCAUCCACGGGCCCAGGAGGCCCAGCUUCUCUGCCAGUUCCCUUGGGUCUCUCGGGCCCCAGUGCCAAAACCAUAGCAAAUCCCAUUUCUUAAGCUCCUGUAGUGUGUCAGGGACUUUACCUACUUCCUCUUACUUACUUUUCAUAGGUAAGAAAACAGACAGAGGGUAAGGGCUUCGCUGCAGUCUCACAGCAAGGAAAUGGCACAGCUGGGACUAGAACUCAGGCCUCCGGCACUGGUAGCCUCUUUUGUCUCCUAGUAGCUGUGUCUUAGUAGAAAAAAUGACUUGAAGUUCAGUGGGAAAGACGAGAAUGUUAUUCGGCAGUUGCUAUAGCCAAGCACCCUGCCAAGUGCUGUAUAUGUAUAAGCUCCUCAAAUCCUUCCCAACAAUUCAACACACAGGAAUAGUUACUUUUUUGGUAGGUGAGGAAGCAGGCUGAGAGAGAUUAAGUAACAUGCCCAAGGUCACACAGCCAGUAAAACGGUGGGCUGGAAUUAGAAUAAUAAUGCCAAACACUUGUUAGCCGGUGAGCAGAAGUAUUCAGCUAAAUGGUUUUUGUGUGUGUGUGUGUGU